AGCAUGUAAAUUUUCCUGGUUUGGUUC
rnacentral:piRNA from 1 species